rnacentral:lncRNA from 1 species
GUGUGGCAACUGCACGCCACUCUGCAUCCUACAGCGUGGAUCCUCUGCAUGUGCUUUUGGGAGAUGAGCUCACUGAAAUGGCCAUGUCCAGUCAAGGACACUUUGAGGGAAAUUUUGAGUCUCUGGAUCUUGCAGAAUUUGCUCAAAAUCAGCCAUGGGGGAAUAAGAUGUUUGGACAGGAAUCUGGAUCUCUGGCUAAAAAGUAUCCCGUGACAACCCAGCUGUUAAUUGGAAGCUUCACUAGAUGAUGCAUGGAGUUCAUAUUCCAAAAGGUUGAAAAUUGGCUGCAACAGCUGUGGGGGGGUGAAUUUUUUCUCCUUCAGCUUGCAAGUCAUACUGAGUACAUCAAAGAUGACUGGCAACAACUAGAGGAGGACAUGAAGAAAGCAAAAGAACAGCUGAAGAUCCAUAAAAGCAAUCAGAUACCUACUAAGGUCAAGAGCAAAGCUGAGGAGGUGGUGUCAUUUGUGAAGAAGAAUGUUCUAAUGACUGGGGAAAUUUUCAGAGGUCUUCUGCUUGGCAUGGCAUCAUAA